UUUAGUAAUUGCUUGCUUUAUUUGCAGUGGUGUUUAUAUUUAAAUAUUGAGCACAUACAUUUCAAGAAAUAAAAUUUAGAAUAAAUAAUGAGGUUUGGUUGUCACAAGAUAUUAAAAUCAUGUUAAGUGUCGGCUUUAUGGUGUGGAAUAUGCUUUUGGUUCGGAUCAAACGUUUUAGUCCUGGUAAAACAUGAAAUACACACUGUUUAAAAACUAAUAAAAUACCUGAAUAAUCUCAAAUAUCCCUCUGUAUCUCCUGCUACGAGGAGGUCAUGAGCAGCUGAGCGGUUUACAGUUGAGAUUAUAGAUGUCAUUGGAUAGUAUCUGUUGUUCCAAAUUCCUGAUGGAGAUUUUUUAUUAGCAUGACAUUUAUUACAUUGUGAUAAAGAUAUUAUUACCAGAAACCAAGAAACCGACUGUUGAAUUAUGCGUAUACCAUUUAACAUCUUUCAUAGUGAUUGGACUCUUUUCUGAAAAAGUCAAGUCAUAAUCGGCAGUGACAGUCUGAAUGAAGUUGCUGUCUGUGCUCCAAUCCAUCUGCAUAAGAGGCUGGGACCCUCUUAUUUUGUUAAUUUUUUUAUAAGAAUAUCCAUCACGGCUUACUCUGAACAGCCAAGGCAAUUGAGUGGGGAGCCGCAUACUCUUACUGUUGCAACAAUAUUUCCAGCUUCAGCGUUCAAAACUACCAGGUGCCCAUCCGUCGAGCCUGCAGCAAGGGCAACACCAAAUGGAUGAAAGCUUAUUGAAAUACAUUCAUGCGCGACCUGAAAUAAACAAUUUAUUAGGCACAAGAAGAAUGAAAUAAACUUAAUAUGAUA
rnacentral:misc_RNA from 1 species